rnacentral:rRNA from 1 species
UACAGGGGUCUCAAGCGUUGUUCGGAUUCAUUGGGCGUAAAGGGUGUGUAGGUGGCGCCGUAAGUCGGGUGUGAAAUUUCGGAGCUUAACUCCGAAACUGCAUUCGAUACUGCCGUGCUUGAGGACUGGAGAGGAGACUGGAAUUUACGGUGUAGCGGUGAAAUGCGUAGAUAUCGUAAGGAAGACCAGUGGCGAAGGCGGGUCUCUGGACAGUUCCUGACGCUGAAGCACGAAGGCCAGGGGAGCAAACGGG